AAUCUGAUUAACGCACUAAUCUAUAAUUAAGUUAAAAAUUAAUCUCAUUCUUCCUUGCAUUACUUAUAUAAAACCCUCUCUCGCCUCCUCCUUGGUAUUCAAUCUCCACACUUUCUUCUCUUCUUAGCUCUCGCUCAUAUCUCUCUCUCUAUGUUUUGCCCUAGCUAACUUGUUUUCUUCUUCUUUUUCUCAAUCCGCUUCACAUCAAUGCAUCCUCACGAUUCAUGUGCUUUUCCGAUUAAGUGUUCUCUGGGAUCUCGAAGAAUUGCCAUUUUCUUAAAUAUGUUAAAGCAGACGAGUCGCUUCGAUUACUUCAUUUGAUUAAUGCUCAUGGAUGAGAGGUUUGUCAACCUUUAAUGGAUCUGUCUCCCCUUCUCAGUGGUAAACUGCUGAGUUGAGAUAGGAUUCGGAUGAUGGUUUUACUAUGGGGCUGUCGUGGUUAACUAAACCAGAGACUGACAGGUUCGCUCGAGUUGUCUCUCAUGUCUAGACCAUUUGUGAGAAGGGAUUUUCUGUUUGCAUCAUUCACUCCCACCAAUCUCUAAAUAUGCAAUAAGUAUUAUUCUCACUUAAGAGAGAAACAAUCCUAUUAUUUGAGAUGCUUCUACAGCUUGGAAUAUGUUGUUUCGUUCUUUAUAUGGCUACCAAAACGUUAAGAAACCAGGUGAACAUUUCCCUAAAAAGGUCUAGCCUGUAGGUCAUAGUCAUUAGACCCACCUCUCACUUCUCGAUUAAAAUGUGUUAUUUCUUCCAUCAAAAUCUGAUCCUUGAGGAGUUAGGUACAUAAGUAAGUACACAGAGUGAACACAUAACUUGAUAAAGUCAUUUACACUUUGGACAUUUUCCCAAGAGAUGCCAAACUUCUCAAUGGAUUUUGAGUUUUUCAAUGAUAGCUAAAAUUUGUAUCUAGCACUACUUAUAGCUACACUAGUAUACUUGAUAAUAUUUGGGGGAGUGGGGGAGAUGCCGUGUUAUUAUUCCCUUCUCAUCGAUGGUCUAGAUGUGUGAGGUGACUCUCAUGGAGGUAAAGAGAAAUGGUGAUUUAUAGGAAAGCAUCCACCACAAUGGUAUUAUCCUAAAAGGGUUAGAAAAUUUUCAGCUUGUGGAAUUAUUGUUUUGUAUUGCUAGAUUUUGGACCAGUGGUCUGCUAAUGCAACACAUGUGAUCCUUUCGAGUAUAGUUGUGUAAGCUUUAUUUUUCAGGUUGAGUACAACAGCAUGCCAUUACUAAUCAACGAUGGAUGCAGAAGCAAUUACUAAAGAAGUCAGAAAACAGAAAAAGUCGAGUGUUUUAAACGAUGAAAGAGCAAAGUAAACGAAAGGUGUACCUUUUUUACUAUAUUCUCUCUCGUUCAUCCAUUUCAUGCUGCAACCGAAAAGACCAAAGGGAAUGAAUGGGUGUGUUUUAAUACAUGACGUAACGCCAAGUAUUUAGAGAUUGCUUGUAAAUUCAUACGUACUACAAAUACUCGGUAGAUUCUAACUCCCGAAUGAAAGACUUUGUAUCUAUCUUCUUAAUGGCACAUGUAUAUAAUUAUACAUGGAUUUAUACUAA